UUGAGAACUGUGGGAAUAAGAAUGCAAAGAAUCCAUUUUGAUAAAACCACACAAAGCAGCAAGGCAGACUGGGGUGGAGUUCAAGAAGGCAGACUGAUACUUCUCUCCCAAGAACAAAUUUGUGCCUCAGGGUGAGCAUAGUCUGGUGAACCCAAGAAGACCCCAGGCCCAGAAUUAAUCAAUGUGAAGUACAAACAUCUCCAGGUUAGUUCCAUAGAAACAGCAAGUAAGGAUCCCUGAAGCUAGAUGUGUUUGACUGGAGAUGCAGCAGAAUCAAGAAAUUUCACCUUACAGAUUGCAUGAUUAGUCAGGGGUCUGAGUCCAAGAAGACUGAUGAACCUUACCAGACCCAGCUGUGAUGCAGAGAUGCAGCCCUGGGCAAGAAGAGUUAAAGAAGACUGGAGAAAAUGUCCAGUCCUUCUAUAUUGUUGUCUACAGACCUGAAAGUCCUGCUGCUUAUACUUGAGGGAGAUGGAGGGGAGAAUGAAAAGGGAAAAAAAAAAUAAACAUUUUCUUAGCAGAACAAAAGAAUAACGCUACAAGGAAGCAAAGUAAAGAUGUAUACGCAUGAAUAUAAUUUAUUUGUCUCCUGAAUUAAAAUGUAAACUCAUGAA